rnacentral:rRNA from 1 species
GAUGAACGCUGGCGGCGUGCCUAAUACAUGCAAGUCGAGCGAACAGAUGAGGAGCUUGCUCCUCUGACGUUAGCGGCGGACGGGUGAGUAACACGUGGAUAACCUACCUAUAAGACUGGGAUAACUUCGGGAAACCGGAGCUAAUACCGGAUAAUAUAUUGAACCGCAUGGUUCAAUAGUGAAAGACGGUUUUGCUGUCACUUAUAGAUGGAUCCGCGCCGCAUUAGCUAGUUGGUAAGGUAACGGCUUACCAAGGCAACGAUGCGUAGCCGACCUGAGAGGGUGAUCGGACACACUGGAACUGAGACACGGUCCAGACUCCUACGGGAGGCAGCAGUAGGGAAUCUUCCGCAAAGGGCGAAAGCCUGACGGAGCAACGCCGCGUGAGUGAUGAAGGUCUUCGGAUCGUAAAACUCUGUUAUUAGGGAAGAACAAAUGUGUAAGUAACUAUGCACGUCUUGACGGUACCUAAUCAGAAAGCCACGGCUAACUACGUG